CUCCCGUGCCUACUGAGCUGAAACACAGUUGGUUUGUGCAGACUGGCUCAGUUCAGCAGGAACAGGAG
ensembl:miRNA microRNA 24-2